GCAUAAUGGUGAACCGAUUCCAGGAACUCAUUGAGUCCGGUUCCUUCAUCGUUCCCAGCAUAUUUUUGGAUUUUCCAAUCGGCCACUCGUUGGGGCCGCCGAUAGUAACCGGUGAUCUCCACCGAGUCUGUACUCUCAGGCUGACGAGAAGGUACGUGAUUUGGAAAAGAAGGACGCGAAAACACAUUUUGCGGCGGAUGAGUCGGCUCGGGCUUCUCAAAAGUUCUGGAAUUGUUAACAAAGGCGGAGCUGAAAGGUUUCUGAUUUGACUGUUUUGGUAUUCCAAACUCUUUAGUAGGUAUUGAGAAACGCCUCGAAGAGUUCUCUGGAACACCUAAGCCUUCUAACGUCGCCGGAUCGAAAUCGGGCAAAUCCGGUAGAUCUGGACUUGUUCUCAAACGAAUCUCAUCCAGUUCUACUGGCAAACUUUGGGAGUUUACGUUAGGGACUAUGCUAUUCACGAUGCCCUGUAACUCUGAAACCGCUACGCGAAGUGUUUGCACAUCCCGAUUCGUUUUCUGAAGUUCAGAAGCAAUCGUGCUGAUAGACACAAGUCCGUUACCGAGCUUUUUCACUGCAGCUUCCAGGGAAUCAACUCUAGAAGAACUGCGAGCCUCGCUUAGCUUAAUUUGGGCUUGUGUCUUUUGGAUCUCCGCCCUUAUUUCAAACAAGACAUCUCGAAUAUCACCUACGGCAUGGCUGUUGGAUACUUUUUCGGCUGGAAUUUGAGAGUUCUCGUCCGACACAGCAUCCGUCCCCGUGGCAAUGUGGAUUUGCAAAUCAUCACCACCAUCUUCCUUAUCUUCCUCAAUCGGCGUUAGGGGCGGCGCCGACACAUUCGCGAAGUGGUAGUUGUGAAGAGCAACCACAUCGCUCAAAAGAUCUACGAAGGCCUUAUUAUUCUCCCCUGCGACGUAGUUUUUAACUAUUUGGAGCCGGGCACCCAAGUGAAGUAGCCUGCUCCGGUAAACUUCCUUGUUCGGACACCUAUACCCCAAAUCCUCCUUCAUGGACUCAAAUUUACCACUACAAAUGGACAAUUCAGUUUCUACAUUCCCUUGAAACGAACGGACGACAGGUUCGGAGCUGCUCUGCUCCAUGGACAAAAAUCCCCGCAAUCGACGACGCCUCUUCGAACCCGAUUGAUCCGAUUCAGGAGGGAUAAUAACACCACGGGAGUUCAGUUCAAAGUCGAUCUCAUCGAGUUCUAAAUGAUCGGCACGCAAUUGAAAAUAGGCGACGUUGAACUCCCCCAACGUCAAAGUAUGGAGUGCCAUUUUGAUGAAUGAACUACAAAAGUCUUCAAAAUAUGGACGAAAUUGAGACUUACCAACUGAUCAGUUGCCAAAUUAAGUCAGAUGUCACCCCAAAUCAGCCCAGAAGAAUCAAAAAUCCCGCCCUGAGAACAAAGAGACCCAAAAUGUCCCAAUUCGUUCCGCAGACGAGACGGUUCACCGAUUUAGUUUAAAAACGAACAA